rnacentral:rRNA from 1 species
UAACGCGUGGGCAACCUGCCUCAUACNGGGGGAUAACAGUUAGAAAUGACUGCUAAUACCGCAUAAGACCGCGGUGCCGCAUGGCACAGCGGUAAAAACUCCGGUGGUAUGAGAUGGGCCCGCGUCUGAUUAGCUAGUUGGCGGGGUAACGGCCCACCAAGGCGACGAUCAGUAGCCGACCUGAGAGGGCGACCGGCCACAUUGGGACUGAGACACGGCCCAAACUCCUACGGGAGGCAGCAGUGGGGAAUAUUGCACAAUGGGGGAAACCCUGAUGCAGCGACGCCGCGUGAGCGAUGAAGUAUUUCGGUAUGUAAAGCUCUAUCAGCAGGGAAGAAGAUGACGGUACCUGACUAAGAAGCCCCGGCUAACUACGUGCCAGCAGCCGCGGUAAUACGUAGGGGGCAAGCGUUAUCCGGAUUUACUGGGUGUAAAGGGAGCGUAGACGGCGAUGCAAGCCAGAUGUGAAAGCCCGGGGCUCAACCCCGGGACUGCAUUUGGAACUGUGUGGCUGGAGUGUCGGAGAGGCAGGCGGAAUUCCUAGUGUAGCGGUGAAAUGCGUAGAUAUUAGGAGGAACACCAGUGGCGAAGGCGGCCUGCUGGACGAUGACUGACGUUGAGGCUCGAAAGCGUGGGGAGCAAACAGGAUUAGAUACCCUGGUAGUCCACGCCGUAAACGAUGACUGCUAGGUGU